rnacentral:rRNA from 1 species
AGAGUUUGAUCAUGGCUCAGGGUAAACGCUGGCGGCGUGCCUAAAACAUGCAAGUCGAACGGAUCACUUUCGGGUGGUCAGUGGCAGACGGCUGAGUAACGCGUGGGUGACGUACCUGUUGGUGGGGCAUAACUGCCCGAAAGGGUGGCUAAUUCCGCAUAAGUCCUCGUUUUCAGUGACGGGGGGAAAGCCGCAAGGCGCCGAUGGAGCGGCCCGCGUCCGAUUAGCUGGUUGGUGGGGUAACGGCCUACCAAGGCGACGAUCGGUAGCUGGUCUCAGAGGAUGAUCAGCCAGACUGGGACUGAGACACGGCCCAGACUCCUACGGGAGGCAGCAGUUAGGAAUUUUGGGCAAUGGGCGCAAGCCUGACCCAGCAACGCCGCGUGGGUGACGAAGGCCUUCGGGUUGUAAAGCCCUUUUCUGAGGGAAGAUGAUGACGGUACCUCAGGAAGAAGCACCGGCUAACUACGUGCCAGCAGCCGCGGUAAUACGUAGGGUGCGAGCGUUGCCCGGAUUUAUUGGGCGUAAAGGGCGCGUAGGCGGCCACGCACGUCCGUUGUGAAAUCGCUCGGCUCAACUGGGCGGGGUCAGCGGAUACGGCGUGGCUGGAGCAAGCUAGGGGGCAAUGGAAUUCCCGGUGUAGUGGUGGAAUGCGUAGAUAUCGGGAGGAACACCAGUGGCGAAGGCGGUUGCCUGGAGCUUUGCUGACGCUGAGGCGCGAAAGCGUGGGGAGCGAUCCGGAUUAGAUACCCCAGUAGUCC